rnacentral:rRNA from 1 species
UAUCAUCUGUUUCUUAAAUAUUUAUUGAAUUUGACUUUUAAGUGAAAAGGCUUAAAUAAAUCAAAAAGACGAUAAGACCCUAUAAAUCUUUACAAUAAAUAUAUUUUAUAUUUUAACUUAUAAGUGUAUAAGAAAUAAAAAUAUAGAUUUGUUUCGCUGGGGCGGCGUAGAUAUAUAAAUAAACUGUCUAUAAUUUAAAUACAGUAAUUAUUGCUUAAUAUAAAUUGAUCCUUAAAUAGAUUAAAAGAUUAAGAUACUUUAGGGAUAACAGCGUUAUUUUUUUUGAGAGUUCUUAUCGAAGAAAAAGUUUGCGACCUCGAUGUUGAAUUAAAGUAUCUCUAUGGUGCAGCCGCUAUAAGAGAGAGUCUGUUCGACUUUUAAUACUUUA